UACGGAGGGUGCAAGCGUUAUCCGGAAUCACUGGGUUUAAAGGGUGCGUAGGCGGUUGUAUAAGUCAGUGGUGAAAGGCCGUAGCUUAACUAUGGGAUUGCCAUUGAUACUGUAUGACUUGAAUGAGGUUGAGGUUGGCGGAAUGUGGCAUGUAGCGGUGAAAUGCUUAGAUAUGCCAUGGAACAUCGAUUGCGAAGGCAGCUGACUGGACCUGAAUUGACGCUGAGGCACGAAAGCGUGGGGAGCGAACAGGAUUAGAAACCCGGGUAGUCC
rnacentral:rRNA from 1 species